GUGCUGUGUAAUGGGUAUGAUUUUGGUUUUUUGAAAUUUGCUGAGGAUUGUUUUAUGUCUGAAUGUGUGGUUGAUGUUAGAGUAUGUGCCAUAUUUAGAUGAGAAUGUGUAUUCUAUUGUUUUGGGUGGAGAGUUCUUUAGAUGU